UUACAGUAUUUCCAACCAACCUAGAAUUUGGGUUCUGCCAGUGUGAGGAACCUGAAAUGGUUCCUCAAGUCUCUUUUCAUUUUUACAGCGUAAUUCUGCAAGAGCUUCCAGAUGAUGUUUACAAAUGUUUUUCUAGGCAGCAGUGACCUGAAACACAGCCUUGCCCUAAUGCAAAAGCACUAAACUUCCUGCAUAACGCGCUGUGGUUACAUAAAGGCAGGCACCAGCUGAGCUUACGUUCAGGGGUAUCGUGCCCUGAAGUGACACCGUGCUCAAGGGGAGAAUGGGAGGAGACGGUGGCGUAGGCUGGCCGGUGUUCGGUUUCACCAGCUCUCACGUGACCGCAAUGGCUGCUUGUCUGUUCCGUGCAGUGCAUCAUCCCUCUACCGCCCAGCGAAUGUAGGCUACAGCAGUUUGCUCGCUUCGCUGAACUAUCGGUGCGGCCACUUACCACCCGCCGAAGCGAAAUUCCUCUACACGUUCAGCCGAACAGCUCACCGGCUGAGAAGAACCACAUUUGGGAGAGAAAUUAAAGCGUCUCGGGGUUCAACGUCCACCAACCAACACAGCGGUAGGAGGAGUCAACAGUGAAAGUGAAUGGGGACUGAGACUGUCGUGCUGUCUAAUAUCUCUUAUAUUCUUCGGAAGAAAAAAGUCAACAUGAGGAGUGUUUCUCUCUGGUGUGGUGCUGUUCCUCUGAGUGUCUGAAGAGAUUUAACACUGAGAAAUCCAGCAGCAGGUCACUGUGUUGGACUGACUGUCUUUUGGACAGGUUUGACCCGAGAGCAGUUUGUCACCCCC